rnacentral:rRNA from 1 species
GAUGAACGCUGGCGGCGUGCCUAAUACAUGCAAGUCGAGCGAACAGACGAGGAGCUUGCUCCUCUGACGUUAGCGGCGGACGGGUGAGUAACACGUGGAUAACCUACCUAUAAGACUGGGAUAACUUCGGGAAACCGGAGCUAAUACCGGAUAAUAUAUUGAACCGCAUGGUUCAAUAGUGAAAGACGGUUUUGCUGUCACUUAUAGAUGGAUCCGCGCCGCAUUAGCUAGUUGGUAAGGUAACGGCUUACCAAGGCAACGAUGCGUAGCCGACCUGAGAGGGUGAUCGGCCACACUGGAACUGAGACACGGUCCAGACUCCUACGAGAGGCAGCAGUAGGGAAUCUUCCGCAAUGGGCGAAAGCCUGACGGAGCAACGCCGCGUGAGUGAUGAAAGUCUUCGGAUCGUAAAACUCUGUUAUUAGGGAAGAACAAAUGUGUAAGUAACUAUGCACGUCUUGACGGUACCUAAUCAGAAAGCCACGGCUAACUACGUG